rnacentral:rRNA from 1 species
UAUGACUAAAAAGUUAAAACUUAAACUACAUGGCGGCAACUAGAAAUUUCAGGGGAACUUGCCAGGUAAAUGAUAACCCUCAAAAUAACACUACUUCUAUUUAUAGUUUGUAUAUCGCCGUCUUCAGCAUUCAUUUUAGAUGAAUUCAAAACGUUUUCAAACAAAAAGACAGGUUCUGAUGCAGCCAAUAUAGAAGUCUCAGGUGAGUUACAGUAAGAAAUCUAUUUAGAUUUGUUUUGAAAAAGAAACAUUAAAACUGGACUUGAUAGUAAC